rnacentral:rRNA from 1 species
UAUCUUUAGUUGCCAUCAUUGAGUUGGGCACUCUAAAGAGACUGCCGGUGUCAAACCGGAGAAGGUGGGGAUGACGUCAAGUCCUCAUGGCCUUUAUGACCAGGGCUACACACGUACUACAAUGGCCGGUACAAAGGGCAGCGACACAGCGAUGUGAAGCGAAAUCCCGAAAAGCCGGUCUCAGUCCGGAUUGGAGUCUGCAACUCGACUCCAUGAAGUUGGAAUCGCUAGUAAUCGCGGAUCAGCACGCCGCGGUGAAUAACGUUCCCGGGCCCGUU